GACGAACGCUGGCGGCGUGCUUAACACAUGCAAGUCGAACGGACAGGCCCUGCUUUUGUGGGGUGCUCGAGUGGCGAACGGGGGAGUAACACGUGAGUAACCUGCCCUUGACUUUGGGAUAACUUCAGGAAACUGGGGAUAAUAUCGGAUAGGAUCUCCUGCUGCAUGGUGGGGAUUGGAAAGUGUCGGCGGUUGGGGAUCGACUCGCGGCUUACCGGCUUGUUAGUGGGGUAGUUGCUUACCAAGGGUGUGAAGGCUAGCCGGCAUGAGAGGGGGAACGGGCACAAUGGGACUGAGAUAGGGCGCAGAAGGGAACGGGAGGCAGCAGUCGGAAACCUUGCAGAGUGAGCGGAAGCGAGAGAUGGAAACGCCGCGUGCGGGAUGCCGGCCUUCGGGUUGUAAACCACUUUGGAAUGUGACGAAGCGUGAGUGACGGUAAUGGGUAAGGAAGCACCGGCUAACUACGUG
rnacentral:rRNA from 1 species